GGUCCCAUGGUGUAAUGGUUAGCACUCUGGACUCUGAAUCCAGCGAUCCGAGUUCGAAUCUCGUUGGGACCU
rnacentral:tRNA from 2 species